rnacentral:rRNA from 1 species
GACGUAGGGGGCCAGCGUUGUUCGGAAUUACUGGGUGUAAAGGGUUCGUAGGCGGUGCGGCAAGUCGGGAGUGAAAUCUCUGGGCUUAACCCAGAGGCUGCUUCCGAAACUGCUGUGCUUGAGUGUGGGAGAGGCGCGUGGAAUUGCAGGUGUAGCGGUGAAAUGCGCAGAUAUCAGGAGGAACACCAAUUGCGAAGGCAGCUCGCUGGGACGUCACUGACGCUGAGACGCGAAAGCGUGGGGAGCAAACAGG